AUUGGUUUCACCUGGGAAAGCUGACAAUCGUGGACUUGCUUUCAGGAUCCCGACUUUUAAUUCAAUUUGAACAUGCACAUAGCAAAGGCACGAACAAAAGUUGAUGUGCACAAAUGCCUAUGGAUAAACAUCAACGCAUAUUGCAUGAAACAUGCAGGCAAUGGGAGGACAGCUAAAGAUGCAGCGAAUGACUUCUGUAAAACAGGAAUCGAAAGGCUUGUACCUGGGACAGAUGCCAAAUGCUGACAAAAGACUCUUUCGGGAGCCUUAACUCUUUAUUUCAGGACGUGUGUCAGAUCGUGAUUUGGCACUCUGAGUAAGUACAUGUACCUGAUAUCAAUAUUUUCUCUCGCAGCUUUAAGCGACUCCCCGCUCCUGAGGGAUAGGCUGAGAUUUGCUUAUUUCGCUUGGUUUCGGACCAAGUUCCACUCCUCGCCUCCAGGCCCGAGCCAGGUGACGGUGUUUAGCAUUUUGUGCCAACACCCAUAGAGGUAUUAAACAUGGAGGACUGGCUGCUAACCCAACAACAACAGACGAAGCCAAAGAGCGAGCCGCAAGGUGGUCGCAAGAGUUGCCGCCUUGUUUUCUUUUCCUUUCUCAUGCUGUUGUGACCUCUCUUCUCUUGGCAGCGGGGCUGAAGUGGGCAGGCGAAUAGGAGGGCAUAGCUGAAUCUGCUUAGCGCUGGCAGGGGUUUGUGUAAGAAGGGCUGUUCGCUCGCACACCUCUCUCUCUGCUUUUCCCCUUGUCUUGCGAGCGACGUGGAAACGGUCUCUCCUCUUCUUUCUUCCUCCCUGCUGUUUCUUUUUCCGGUUGUCGUACAGUACAGUCGUACUUUUUACCCCAUCCGGAGUCUCCCGCGAUGGCCCACGAAAAGCUCUCACUCAGGAACAAAGUCACAGACCCUUUAUCGGGGAAAAUAUUUUGGUAAUCACCUGCAAUUCUGAAGCAAUAACACCAGAAACAGCAUCACAUUAUGAAGAAAAAGAGCCUUGUGGAUAACAGCCGAACCCUGGGACAUCCAGCUGCCUGACACUCGCCAGAGCAGUGCAUCACUUCUUGAUUACUCAGCCCUUUAACUGAUCCAACAUCUCAAUUAUGAGACUCUCCGCCGGGUCCCCGCUGUCUCGGCCAACUGCCAGGCCAAAACAUUUCAAUCACUGCCAUUAAUUAGGCCAAAGAGGAAUUCAGAAUGUUAAUGUCCUGCACCAGUGUCUUUCAGUUCCUCGGUUCACAUGCUAAUUUAUGCAAAGACACGGUGCCGCCGUCCCGCCCCUUUGCCAUGGCAGUCCAUUCUUUUGGCCCCCCCAGGUGACCCCCGUCUGCCACCACAGCUCCAUCAUGCUGGGACGCCAUCAUCUGUGUAUUAUAACAAUGCAAACAUUUCUAUUUCAUGUAUAUAUAAUUGUUGAUCAUAUAUAUAUAUACAGUGGCAUGU